ensembl:lncRNA
CACGUAAGUGCUCCCCUUCACCCGCUGUACCCACCCCCUUUCCCCUGGUAACCACUGAUUUGUUUUCUUUGUCCACAUGUUUGUUUAUAUUCCACAUUAGCGAAAUCAUCUGGUGUUUGUCUUUCUCAGUCUGGCUUAUUUCACUUAGCAUAAUACCCUCCAGGUCCUUCCAUGUUGUUGCAAAUGGGAUGAUUUUAUCUUUUUUAUGGCUGAGUAGUAUUCCUCUGUGUGUUUAUAUACCACAUCUUCUUUAUCCAAUCAUCAGUCAAUGGGCACUUGGAUUGUUUCCACGUCUGGCUAUUGUGAAUAGUGCUGCAAUGAACAUAGGGGUGCAUAUGUUACUUUGGAUGGUUGAUUUCAAGUUGUUUGGGUAGAUACCCAGCAGUGGGAUAGCUGGAUUGUAUGGUAUUUCUAUUUUUAGUUUUUUGAGGAAUCUCCACACUGUUUUCCACAGUGGCUGCACCAGUUUGCAUUCCCACCAGCAGUGUAUGAGGCUUCCCUUUUCUCCACACCCUCUCCAACAUUUGUUAUUUCUAGUCUUAGUGAUUAUAGCCAUUUUAACAGGCAUAAGGUGGUAUCUUAGUGUAGUUUUGAUUUGCAUUUCCCUGAUGAUUAAUGAUGUUGAACAUCUUUUCAUCUGUUUCUUGCCCAUCUGUAUAUCUUCUUUGGAAAAAUGUCAGCUCAUAUCCUCUGCCCAUUUUUUGAUCGGGCUGUUUGUUUUUUUGUUGUUCACUUGUGUGAAUUCCUUAUAUAUUAUGGAGAUUAACCCCUUGUCAGAUACAUGAUUUGCAAAUAUUUUCUCCCAGUUGGUGGGUUGUCUUUUUGUUUUGACCCUAGUUUCUUCUGCUUUGCAGAAGCUCUUUAGUCUGAUGAAGUCCCACUUGUUUAUUUUUCCUUUUGAGGAAGAUUAGCCCUGAGCUAACAUCUGCUGUCAAUCCUCCUCUUUUUGCUGAGGAAGACUGGCCCUGAGCUAACAUCCGUGCCCAUCUUCCUCUACUUUAUAUGUGGGACGCCUACCACAGCAUGGCUUGCCAAGCGGUGCCAUGUCCGCACCCGGGAUCCAAACCCACGAACCCCAGGCUGCCGAAGUGGAAUGUGAGAACUUAACCGCUGCCCCACCAGGCUGGCCCCACACUUGUUUAUUUUUUCUUUUGUUACCCUUUUCUGAGAAGACAUGGUCUUCAAAAACAUCCUUUUAAGUUCAAUGUCAAAGAGUGGACCACCCAUUUUUGUGGAGCUCUGCGAUACUCUCAAGGGCAGCUUAACCUCAAGGGCAGCUUAACCUUUUUGAAGGUCCAGGAAUCAGGGUCAGGGAUGGCAAUAAUCUAGGGGUACCCACAGAGACAUAGCUGUGAAUGGGAGCUAAGGCUAAAAAACAGCACGAGAAAAAGUAUCGAGAUGUGUCAAACUGCGACACCUAAUGUGUGAAGACACCUUAAUUCUAGAAGAUAGAAGCUUGUUGUCUGAGGAUGUUCUUAAAGCGCCCUGGCUCUACCUGAUGAGUUGUGCUUCCACCUGUCUUCAAAGUCCCUUCUAACCUGCCAAAUCUGCUAAAAGAGAUUCAGCAGAGCAACGUUUGGGCCUCUGUACUACCCAGACUUGGUUGGCUACUAAAGUGACUUUCACUGAUUUGUAUGUCCUCUCUCCAUCUCCAUUUUAUCAUAUGUACUGUGCAAUAGUCUUGCUAAAAUACAAAUUUAAUUCUAUCGCUUCCCUGCUCAAAAACCUUGAAGGACUCCCCAGUGCCUGCUGGGUAGUCAAACUUCUUUUCCUAGUCUGUCAUCAUCUGACACUAAGCAACUUUCCAGCUACAUGACUUCAGUCAAAUCAGUCUAGUCAGCACCCUGCAGAGCUGGACACUGGUUUCUCCCUGGUUUUGUGACUGUGUGUACACAGGUCUCUCCACCUCUCCAAAGCUGACCCAGCUUGGGGCCUACAACAAAAGUUUUAGUAGAAAUGAACUGAAAAAUGACCAAAUGUAUAGUAGAUAUCUUUGCAAAUGUAGGAGUUACAAUGGAAAAAUGCCAAUGAGAGAGCUAGAGGAGAAGAUGACCCUCGUUGAAGAGAAUAUUUUCUAACUAGUUUCCUGAAAAUACCCCUCCUGGAGAUGUCAGUAAGUUUGAAUGCAAUCUGUGCCCCCCCAGGAGUGUCAUAGUGUACAUGAGCACAUUUACAGUUCUGAGAAGUCCUGUAAUUUUUAAAAAACAAAGCAAAAACAACCUAGUGUUUAGCCCAGCAUUUCCCAAAUGUAUUUGAUCGUAGAACGCUGAUUUCCUGCCACACCUAUUAGCAUCCCUUGGAGGAAGCGUUUUGUAGGAUGUGACAGAAACAUUACUUUAAGUGGUUCCCUUUUCACUGUGGCCUGCCAAUCGAUUUUUUGAAAUCUCAGUAGUUUUUUUGCCAUACGUCCAUAAAUGGAGGGAUUUGGAAGGAGGCAGUCUUGGAAGACCAGUUGUUUCCCAAUAUUUCUUCUCCCCUUCUUCCAGAAUAGUAAGUUUUUAGUUGGGCACAUGGCUGCUGAGAAUAAAGUCAGAUCUGCCCAGCCUCCCUUGCAGCUAGAUGUGGUCAUGUGACUAAGCGCUGGCCAAUGAGACAUGAGACAAGAGAAGGUUGUAGGUUGUGGGUUGUGUUCAUAAAGAAAAGGAGUAGGCUCUCUCCCUCUUCUUUCCUUCUUCCUCCACCACAGUGACUGGAAAGCAGAGGGGUCGGGAGCCAUAUUGAAUCAUGCAGUUAAAAGCCACACAGAGCAAGAACGGCAGAGCCAGAGGAUAGGAGGAGCCAGAACCUUUGGUAACCUCACAGAGCUGAGAUGCUAUACAACCUCAGACCUUUAUAUGAGAGAAAAAAUUAUUUCUAUCUUGUUUAAGGUGGUAUUGUUUUUGGUCUCUGUCACAUGCAGCCAAACCUAUAUCCUCUGAAGUGCAGUCGUCAUUUAUUGUUUUGUCUGACCAGAACAGUACCCCUACCAUGUGGGAAAUGCUUCCCCACUUCCUAACCAUGUAGUUCUUGGGGAGUUUGCAGGCCAUCCACGUUGGCCGAGCAGAACUCUCUGGGAUUUUUCUACCUCGUGAGGGCAGGGAAGAGCCUUUUUCUUUGCUAGUGCAAGGCUGUAAGAACAGGAGCUUGGAGCUUCCUAAGCAUCUAGUUCCAGCCUCCCUGUGGAGACUGACAGCCUGAGUAACUGGGGCCAACCAGCCUAGUAACUUAGGUCGCAUUCCCUAGAAACAGACUCUGAAAUGAAGAUUCCCGUGCUAGAGAUUAUUGAGGAAAGGCUUCCAGGGGAAAUAGAAGUGGAGGGAGGGAAGAGGAAGGGGAGGGAGGAAGCUGAGCUAUGGUGGCAUUUCAGGCGAAGUUCUGGGCCUCACCUUGGGAAGCUCCAUAGUGAUUUUACCCCAGGGUUAUCCUGCCUCUGGGCAUGAGAGCUGGACUUUCCUUCUCCCAUACAUACUCUCACUCACUGGUUAAGGGCUGCCCUGGGGAAUGUAAAAUUCCAGUGCUUGCAGAACAGCUCCAGGACUCCAGGGGAGUCCUCUCAUGAAAGUCACAGGCGUGGGAAAGAACGGCAAACCCCCCAGGGUUGGGCACACAGAACCUGUGAGAAGGCUGCCAGGGGAUCUGGACACGGCACUGACAGUUACUGUUGCACACACAGAGGCAGAGCCCUAGAUGGAGCCAGCCUGGAGGGCGUUUGUGCUUCCUACCCUGGGCUUUGGCUUCGGUGGCUCAGGCUGCAGGUUCCAGGGUGCUGUCAGGGCACUGCUGGAGGGACAGAGCUGGAGCCAGACUCAGGCUGAGGUCUGGCACCAGUGACCAUACUGGGCAGGCAGCCUGGGGCCUGGGUGAAGAGUAGCUCAGUGCCCAGGCAAGCAGGCUGCCAACAUAGAGAUGGGCAAACCAAAGGCCAGCCUGAGGUUUGGGCUGGUGGGGGUUGAUGCACCAAGGUGAGGGAAACUGGGAAAGGGCGUCCUUGUCCCCCGCAGUCUUGGGCUGUCUCCCUAACCACUGCAUUUUGCCCUUCUCCUUUCCACAACUACAUUUUUCUAGGCUCGUGGUGGGGUGUUCAUCGAGCCAUAACUGCCUGCAGCUUACUCCUUUGUGUGGCAUGUCUGGUAGCAACUCUCCUCAAGGUGCAACACUUGUCCCCUGCCCCACUCUCAGGUCCCUUGGGUCUGCCCAUGUGGCACCAGCUUUCACAGCAGAUCCUGCUUACGCCCACCCUGCAGAGGACUAUGUUGAAGGCCCACCUUUGACCAGCUCUGUGCACCCAUCUCCUCCCAGCUUUGCUAUGAAUGGCUGCUACCAGCAAUCUUCAGAAGACUGCCCUUGAGCACACGAGCCUCCCUUACUGAUUGGCUGGGAGUUUUAAGUUCCCCAUUCUGCACAGCCAGUAGCCAAAGACUAGGGUGGGAGUACAACAGCCCAGUUCCUUUGCUAGGGCUGUAAUUUACACUCAGCUCUGGUGGGAUCAGGCUGGGGCUGGAACAUCACCACAAAGGCAUCCUUGCUGGGCUUCCUCCCCUUCUCUGUCCUGCUUCCUGUACCCCAUCCCCUUGCAGAUUUCCCCUGGGAGCACUUCCUUCAUAAACCACUUGUACCAGAAUCCUUGAUUCAGGAACAACCUGAUCCACACCCACAAAGGUUCAUCAAGAUGCUCAUUUUUUUAACUGGAACUCACUUAACGCUGAAUGCUUGACAAAUAUAAUUAAAUACACAGCAAUGAUGACAUCACAAUAUCGCCUCAGCAUCCAUUCCCCCUUUAUCACCGGCAUCCAAUUUUCCUUGGUUAAAUCGUCACUCUCCCAUUCUCAGCCAUGCAGUGUGCGGGGCGGGUGGGGAUCAAUCCCUACCGGAACUCCCACAUGGACCUUAACUGGUUAAACACAAUCAACAGACUCCAUUCCUCUGGCCAUAGAGAUUAGUUCCAUCAUGGGCAGGAACCACAAACUGAUCCAGUAGGGACUUGAGGAGGCAUCUGCUUGGGUUGCUAGGAAGAGCCUCCUUCUUGGAAGGCCCAGGAAGAGAGGGUUGGCAGGUGCUACUCCUGCCUGCCUGGGAAGGGAGACCACACCCGGAGACAGAGCUGAGAUGUGAAGAGAAGCUGGGCCUGGUCAUGUCAUUCGAGCCCUGGAUAAGACUAUUCUGUCACAGGAGCCCCAAAAUUCCUUUUUACUGUUUAGCCAAGUUGAGUUGGAUUAUUUUUUUAAAUUUGAAUGUCCUGAAUGAUUCAUUGACUGUUUCCGGAAGUGGCCCUAUUUUGAGAUUAUUUUAAGGAGUUGUUUACACAUUCUGAAUGCUCCAUUUAUAAGGGUGAAUUAAAAGGAAACUUUUCCCCUGGGGGAGGGGGAACUUGUGUUUAAUGGGUAGAGAGUUUCAGUCUUGCAAGAAGAAAAGAUCUUAGAGAUCUGCUGCAUAACGACGUGAAUACACUUACCACUACUGAACCGUACACUUAAAAAUGGCUGCGAUGGGGCCCGCCCCGUGGCCGAGCAGUUAAGAUAGGCUGGGUUAUGCUACAUAACAGAAACUUCCAAAUCCAGUGGCUUAAACAACAAAGGUCUGUUUCUUUCUCACACUAUACCUUCAUUAUGGGUCAGCUGGGGGCUCUGCUGUGCAAUAUCCUCACUCCGGGACCAAGGCGGAGGGGAGAACAAGGGAAACUGUGCACUGGCCCUUAAAGCUUCUUUUCAUAAGUAGCACAUAUCACCCCAACUCACAUUUCAAUGGCCAAGGCAAGUCACGUGGUGACACACAGCCUGAAGGGAUGAGUAAGUACAAUCCAAACAGGAACCCAGGACAACUGGGCACAUUUGCUAAUCAGCUAUUCUAACACAAUUUAUUGAACAACUCAUCAUCUCUCUUGUGAUUUUAAUUACCCAUUCAUCAUAUACCCAGUUUUUAUUGAUAUUUGGGCAUCUUUUUGGAUAGUCUUCCUGUUCCAUUGAUUUCCCUUUUGAUGUCUGUGCAGAAUUACCCUGUUUUAAUUUCUGCAGCUUUAUAACGCCACUUAAUGUCAAAGAAAGUAAGUACCCCCUGAAGAUUCUCCUUUGAAAUUUUUUCUGGCUAUUAUCAUACCUUUAAUUUCAAGGUGCAUCUGAGAAUCACUUUGUCAAGUCCUCCUCACCCCUCCUAUGUGAUUUUGACUAGAAUGGGAUUGCAUUUGCAGACGAAUUUACAUCUCUUUACAAUAUAGACUUACUAGUUGAAUAAAAUCCUCUUUUAAGUAUCUCAGUAAGAUUUUAUGAUUUUCUUCAAAUAUUCAGUAACUUCCUAUUUAUUUGAUCUCCAAGUAUUUUGUUUUAUAAUCAUCGUGAAUGAGACCCUUAUUUUAUUGCUUUUAAAUGUUAUUCUAGUAUAGAAGCACUCCUGAUUUUUAUAUUCU